rnacentral:rRNA from 1 species
AGAGUUUGAUCCUGGCUCAGAUUGAACGCUGGCGGCAUGCCUUACACAUGCAAGUCGAGCGGCAGCGCGGGGGCAACCCUGGCGGUGAGCGGCGAACGGGUGAGUAAUGCAUCGGAACGUGUCCUCUUGUGGGGGAUAACCAGUCGAAAGAUUGGCUAAUACCGCAUGAGCUCGAGAGAGGAAAGCAGGGGACCGCAAGGCCUUGCGCGAGAGGAGCGGCCGAUGCCGGAUUAGCUAGUUGGUGGGGUAACGGCCUACCAAGGCGACGAUCCGUAGCUGGUCUGAGAGGACGACCAGCCACACUGGGACUGA